rnacentral:piRNA from 1 species
UCAGCCAUCCUCCUUAAAGAUCCUUCCA